rnacentral:lncRNA from 1 species
UUUUAUCACAGAACAGUGACAUUCUCUAUGGACCUGCUCCAAAGCCCAGUCGCGGCAAUGAAAGGAUUCCUAUUGACUCCAGUGUGACUUGGAGUGGUUCCUAAAAAUGGGAACAAAGCAGCAGACUUCAUAAAUCUUCUGAUGUGGUCCUUAAAGCAAGAAUUCAGACCCCAUGGGGCAAAGGUUUGUGAUUAGAAAGAUAUUUGGCCUCUCUUUCUUCCAGAACUGAACCAUUCAGGUCUUACUGAAGUUUAGUUCUUCGAGAAAAAUCAGAUGCCAGCCAGCACAGAGGAUAGUUAGUCUGUUAAAUGGUACAUUAUGCCUUUUACUUUUCAAUAUGGUGUGGGAUUUGUCUAAGGCUGUCAGUGACCCUGUACUCAGGACCAGAAGAAAAAAAAGCAAAGAAAAGCAAGUGGAGCCAUAGGGCUAAGAAGUGGAGCUGAGAAGUGAAACAAUGGAGGGUGUGGGGGAGAGAGGAAUUAUCACAGCACUGUUGGCACUGAAGUGGCACUGAGAGACAUUAAACUGUCAUAAAACAUGUGCUGGCAGUAUUUCAUCCUACACGUUUACCAUAAUGUGGACUCCUUUUUUAUAGGGAAGCUUCUUGGUAUGAGAGAAGAGAUGCACGUCUGUGACCACAUCCCACCGUUGCAGGCAGUGACAGCCGGCAGCUGCUGCUCUCUGCAAUCUAUUGCCCAGGUGUACCUUCUGCAUGGUUUCACAGCCAGCUUGUCCCGGAGAAAUCAUGGGAGAAUGGGAUCAGGUUUACUUCUAAGCCAGGCAUAACCCUCUGCAGCCACGAACAACACAGAGACUGUACCAGCACCCAGAGCCUCUUAGCCCUGCUGCACUUGAAACACAUGACUGGCAGUGGAGAGGUGCGCUUGGGAGAGGUGAACUUCCAGUUUCAAAAGGACAGUGUUUCCUAUUUACAGAGAAACCUCUUGCAAGGUAAACUGAUAUUUUGGCUGUAUUUUUUAGGAGAUCUGCUCAACAGUCAUCUUAGGAUUUUUUUUUUCUUAACCACAAUGGGCAAGAAAAUCCAUAAGCCAAAUAUGAAUUAACAGGCUGAGGAAUGAGGCAAGCUCUGUCUGUCUGUCGUUCUUCUCAUGUAUCUAUUAUUAUCUUUGCCCUGGGUUUGCUGUGUUUUUCAGUGGACUGCCUCAAGCUGUUUAAUAUCGGAAGUAUUCAAAUCCGAAAUCCUAGUAUUGAUCCCAGUGCAGUAGCAAGUCAGCCUCUGUCAAGCCAGACAAAGAUUCCCUUUUGUGGCUGCCCUCUUGCUGUUUCCUCCUUCCCUUAUGUCAGUUUUUGGUUUGUUACCUAACCCCUCCUAAGCAUUUCUCGCUUCUGGAAUGAUGGGAGAAGAGCCAUCCAAAUCACCUCGAGAAAUGCACCGCUGCCCCGCUGUGUGCUGCAGCGAGCACCCCCUCCAUGCGUAGCAGGUGACCGUAGUGGUAAGUGCUCUCUUCUGUUUGCCUCUGUU